ensembl:lncRNA WASH5P WASP family homolog 5, pseudogene
CUGACGCUCCGGCUCCGACCCACAGGCACCAUGACUCCUGUGAGGAUGCAGCACUCCCUGGCAGGUCAGACCUAUGCCGUGCCCUUCAUCCAGCCAGACCUGCGGCGAGAGGAGGCCGUCCAGCAGAUGGCGGAUGCCCUGCAGUACCUGCAGAAGGUCUCUGGAGACAUCUUCAGCAGGUGGGUGCUGCCACUCACCCCCACCUGAUGAGAGGGCCAUCCCUGUCCUGGGCAAUCCCAGCAACACACCCUCUGGGAGCAGCCCCCUUGGGGAAUCCCGGUCCUGGGGAACCCAUCUGGCUUCCCUGUGUGGGAGGGGCUGAAGUGAGAGCCCAACUUGGAAGCUUUUACUCCUGGGAGUCCAAGAGCUCACUCCCUUCCACCCCACUUAGCCUCCUGGUUUCCUGUGGUGGCUCUGCUCUCACAACUCAUGCUUUUCCUCCCAUUGGAGGGCCUAUUCCUUCACGUUUUCCUGCAGCCAACAAAUAUUUACCCAGCAGUGCUCGUGUGCAAGGCAGUGUGGGAAUCUCUAUAUAUCCAGCCACGGAUAAGGCAACAUACCUCUCCACCUGGAGCGCACAUUCUGGCAGGAGAGAAAGACCUAAAUAAGCAAUAGAUGAUUAGUUCUUCAAUAACAGUUGUGACAAGGUCUAUUGAUAAUAUUUUGUAAUCACUAAUAUUCAUAUAAACCGUGCACAACCAUUGAUUUGAGUGCAUUAACUCACACUUCAUGAGCAGGCACUGCCGUCAUCUCAUUUUAUAGAUGAGGAAACUGAGGCACAGAAGGGCUGAGAGACCUGGCCUAGUGACAGAGCCAGGAUUCAAAGCCAUAGAUCAUGGCCCCGGGUUAUGUAGGUUAUUACUGCAUCUGUUCAGGGGAGAUGGGGUACUGUGAGGCUCGUCAUGGGAAGCCUGGCUUGGUCUCAGGUCAGGGAAGGCAGACGUGAGGAAAUGACAUUUAUGGUAAAGUCUGAGGGUUGAGUGGGUAGGUUGGGAAGAACAUUCCAGAAAGAAGCACAUGAACUACAGCCUGGAGGUGGAGGACCUAAAAGGAAGCCAGCAUGGCUGGAGCACGGAGUGGCCAUUGAGGGAGGCGAGCUGGAGGGCUGCAGCUUCUUGUAUUGGCAGUGCUGACCUCGCACAGUCCUUGGGCUCCAGUGACUUCACUCAGUGUUUAUCUAACAUGAGUGAGUGAAUGGUGUUUGCUCUUUUUUUGGUAAAGGUCCCAGGGGUUGUCGGGUACACAGGUCCUGUCUUUGGCCAUAAGCAAACUGAAAUGAGGCUUGGUCUCCUUCCCAGGAUCCCACACCAUGCCUCACAUGGUAGACCCCAGUGGGAAGUAUGUGACUGCCUGACUCAGGUGCCUCUCGUGGUCCAAGCCAUCCCUGCCCUGUCCCUUCCCUGGUUGUCGCCAGACCUGGAGCCCCUGCUCCUUCACUUUGCAGCCUCCUCUUCUGUCACCAACUGGGAACCCACCUCUUCCUGAAAGUCCUCCCCCACUGACUCACCGGCUUGCCCCGAGUUUGUCAAGAAUGUCCCAGUAACCAGGGGACACACAGUGAAGUGACUGAGGGGUUACCUUGGAGUUGAUGCCUUGGCUCAGAUCCAGCUCCCCUGUUUUCUUCCUCUGUAACCUUGGGCAACCCAACCCCUCUAAGCCUCGGUGUUCUCAUUUGUGAAGUUGUGGUAAUAAUGGUAGCUUCCUGGUAGAAUUAUUUUAAAUAUUAAAUUAAUCAAAACAUGCAAAGGAAUGGAACAGUGCCUGGCACUUAGGAAGCCUUCAGGAAAUGCUAUCUCUUCCCUGUUGAUAAUCUUGACCCGUACACUGCCUUUGGUUGCCAUUCAUAAACCUGCCACCAAUAGUAACAAAGUGCUGGAUGCACCUUUUGUGCUUAUCUUUGUGCUAAAUGUGCCCGAGGGACACCUAGGGAAGAGGAUGCAGGUCUUUAAGAGCCAUCAGCUCCAGAUUAUGGCCACCCCAUGUCCAGCACUUAGAAUGGAGGCCAAAACCAUUCCCUCGGAAAUUGUGUUUCCUUGCCAAGAUGGGGACUGCGUGGUUGCCCUUCUCUGAGGGCAGCGCUGGAUUUUUGGCGUCUUUCCUUUCCUGUCCUGGUACUUGGCACCUUGUAGACAGUUGCAUGUCCCCUGCCCAGGGAUGGGAUGAGGAGAGGGCAGGAAGGCAUUUCCUGGGUAGUGGAGUGCUGCGUUCAUUGAGUGUGGGUUCUCCAAGCUGCUGGCACAGCGCAGGGAGGGCCAGAUGCCUCUCAGGAGCCUUGGGCCUGAGUCCUGGCUCCCUCACUCCUGGGUUCCAGGUCACUGCAUCUGUCUCUCCACCAUGUGCUCCACCUCGUGCUGGACCUUAAGAGAUACCAAUUAUGUGGCUGCCACUGUGUCCUAGAGGCUGGAAUGGGAACACAUAGGGCGAGAUUGAUUGUUAAUUGCUAGCAUGAACCGCGUGGGCUUCUCAGGGUCUAGAGUGGAGAGAAAUCGGUAAGAAUUGGUGGCACGCCUGUCAGAACUCCCCAGACCAAGCUAAGCAAAAAUUAACCAAUCAGUAGAGCAGCCUUCGGAGUAAGGGCUAAAAUGAUGUCCUCAGGGCCUGGUUUUGCUUUCCUUCCAUGUCAGUUUGCUUCUUUGGGUCUGGCUGCAUUCCCAGACAGGCCAUGCUCUCGUGGUAGCAAGGUGACAUGACACAGGGUCAGGUCCAGCAGGAAAGAAUGCUGUCCUGUGUCCCCACUUCCUCCAGAAGCCACACUCACUCAUCCCACCUGGCUUGGUCCUCAUGUCUAUCCCAGAAUCCAUUAAUGGGGCCAGGGGACUAUGACACACCACUUGGCUUAGACUGAGGAGCUCUGUGGGCAGCCCCACCUGAAGCUCUGGGACUAAGCCUGCGAGAGAGAUGGAUUCCCCAAGGGAAAUGGGGCCAUUGCUUGAGUAAAAAGGAAAUAGUUGCUGAAGAGGAAAACCACGUGCUUACUCCACAUAGGGCAGACUCCUGGAAGAGGGGGGCAGGGUAGGGAGGUGGAUAUGCAGGUUGCCCUGGCAGGGUCUGGAAAUGGGGGCUGCAGGCUUGGAGGGAGGCCUCAGUGUGGCUUGGAACGUGGUGUAUGGUGGUCUGCCGCGAAGGCCGGCCUGCACAGGGGUGGGAGGGGGGUGCUUCUGCAUGGGAAGCACAGACAGCGCUGCCUCUCCCUUGCACUCAGCUCUCGGGGCAUGAGAGGCUAACUUUCCGUGAGCCUGUGGGCCAGGCCUCUUUGAAUGGGGCUGAGGGAGCUUUGCCCUGGUUCCUUUGUGUCCCCACGGUGCCACGGGAGGCUCCCUGGCAGGGUGUGGGGCAGGGCAGUGAGUGAAGAGUUGGGAUGAGUGAGUUAGGGCCCACGGAUUACUCAAGACAGGACUUCAAGUUGAUUCAGGCGUGUUAGGGAGCUGUGAUUGGAUUUUGAGCAGGGCAGGGAUGGGACAGAAGAGUUUGGGGAAGGUUCCUCAGGCAUCCGUCACAGAAGGGACAAGAAGGGAGAGAGAGUGGAUGCCAGGGACACCCAGAAGCUGUUAUUGUAGUCAGGAUACGACAGGGGUGAGGCUACAGACAGGGGACUUGCAAGCAGGGAGGGCAGGGUGAGACAUUCAGAGGAAACGACGACAGGAAAUGGUGACAGAUAGGGAACGAGGAUGAAGGGAAGGGAGAGCCAGUGACGACUGGCAGUGGAGUGGGGAGCACCGCCACCUCUCCUCCUCCACUUGCCCCUCCUGUGGCACUGGACAAGCUAGUGGGCUUUUCGUUGUCCAUGGGCUUUUUCGGUGGGGAUGUGACCAGCUUUGAACCCGUCCCCUUAAACAUGCUCCUCCUGCACGGAAGAGACAGGGGCAGGGGAGAGACUCUCUCCCCACCACCCGGCUCAGGCCCCAGCACAGCCCGGCCUCUGGCCUCACUGGCGUCUGUGCCCAGUGACGCAGGCAGGUGAGCUCCUGGCAAAUUAGCAUUGCAGGCUGUGCUCUCUCCUCCUGCUCUGCUGCAGCUGGGAGUGUGCAGAGACUGGAGGGGAUGACAGUCACCCUCUGUUUUCUGUGGUGGCUCUGUUUUCUGUGGUGCUGGAUGCACCUCUGUUUUCUGUGGUGGCUCCAAGAGAGUGCACGGUCCCUGCUGAUUGAAAGAAGGAUGAAGGGCAGAAGAGGGGCGGGGAGCUGUGUGCCCUAAGAUCUCAUUGCCUUUUUAUGCCGAUUAACAUGCUUUUAGCCCCUACUGAGCUUAUAGUUAACAGAAGUUUCCAGGUCUUUCUUCACCUGAACUGUGUCUAAAGCAAGUUCCCUCCACCUUCUGUAUUUAUACGCUUGAUUUUUAAAACCUAAAUGUUGGGCUUCACAUUUGUUCCUUGUAAAUUUCAUCUUGGUGAUUGCAGUCUACCCUCUGGCCUU